GCGCCCGUAGCUCAGUUGACAGAGCAGUAGAACGGUACCCCACGGUCCGAGUUCAAGUCCCGGCGGUCGCA